rnacentral:tRNA from 1 species
GGUGAAAUGGCUGAAUAAGGCAAUAAACUGUAAAUUUAUUUAUGAAGAUUAAUUUCUUUCACCA